rnacentral:rRNA from 1 species
UACGUAGGGUGCGAGCGUUAAUCGGAAUUACUGGGCGUAAAGCGUGCGCAGGCGGUUAUGUAAGACAGGUGUGAAAUCCCCGGGCUUAACCUGGGAACUGCAUUUGUGACUGCAUAGCUAGAGUACGGUAGAGGGGGAUGGAAUUCCGCGUGUAGCAGUGAAAUGCGUAGAUAUCAGGAGGAAUACCGAUGGCGAAGGCAGGUCUCUGGGCUGACACUGACGCUCAUGCACGAAAGCGUGGGGAGCAAACAGG